GCUCAGAGGCAAGCAGCAAAGAAUCAAAUGUAUGACGAUUACUACUAUUAUGGUCCACCUCAUAUGCCCCCUCCAACAAGAGGUCAAGGGUGUGGAGGUAGAGGUGGUUAUGGAUAUCCUCCAGAUUAUUAUGGAUAUGAAGAUUAUUAUGAUUAUUAUGGCUAUGAUUACCAUAACUAUCGUGGUGGAUAUGAAGAUCCAUGCUAUGGUUAUGAAGAUUUUCAAGUUGGAGCUAGAGGAAGGGGUGGUAGAGGAGCAAGGGGUGCUGCUCCAUCCAGAGGUCGUGGGGCUGCUUCUCCCGCAGUAGAGCCGGUUAUUCACAGAGAGGAGGUCCUGGAUCAGCAAGAGGUGUUCGUGGUGUGAGAGGAGGUGCCCAACAACAAAGAGGCCACUGGCAGGGAAAAGGGGUCGAGGCCGGUCCUGACCUGUUACAAUGAAGACUGACUUGCUAUGUGGGAUUACACCAGAAGCUUGCAGUGGAGUAAUGGUAAGGAAAUCAAGCAACCUUAAAUAUCUCGGCUGUAUGGGAGCAUAUUCUAUUGCAGAAGACCUUCCUAUGAAGAUCAUGGAAUCAAAUACGGGACAUUGAACUAAUACUUGGACUUUGAUAUGAAUUUCUUUAACAAUUUUCUCUGCAGUGCAAGUUUGCCCAUUUCCAACUUGGAG